CAAAGCUUCAUGGGCGUAUGUCUGAGCCCAAACGAAAAAAAGCCAUGAGAGAGGUUGAGGAGUAUCAACAACACUUCAUGCCUUGUUUCAACAUUCACAUUCCAUCCUCUCACUCAAAGAUUCACCCGCCUGAGCUGAUGCUCCGCCACGCCGGAGGCGGUGGAGCUGUCCGUUUUGAGCAAACAGCAUCACCAAAACGCUCUUCUCAAAGUCCUCUCUCCCAAUCUCUCAACAAUUCAAUCCUAAACCUAACCAAAUCUCCAAAAUUGGACCAAGAAAGUGAAGAACCCUAACACCUAAAAAUUGAAAUUAAAGGUCAAUGGAACCCCGAUCAGAACUCAAACCUUAGGGGUUUGGUUCGGAUGCUCAAACACUACAUGGUGGUAAAGAAAUUGAAGCAAGAAGAAGGGAAAUUCGAGAACCUACUUUCGAGACCAUGGUUCGUCUCAGAUGAAGAUGCAAAUUACAAAAUAGAAAACUAGAGGUUUGGAACUGGAGCAAGUGGUUCUUCAAAUUAAUUAAUAAUGUAUGUGAAGCUCUAAGUGAAGAUGUGCUCUCUGCCUUCUCCAAAGUGCUUUUUUCAGUACCUCAUUGAUUUUUACUUCAUGAAGCACAUUACAAUUCUGAGAAGCAAUAGGUAAUGAACUCAAUUAUUUCUCCUCGACCA